UUUUCAGCAGCCGCGGUAAUACGUAGGGUGCGAGCGUUAAUCGGAAUUACUGGGCGUAAAGUGUGCGCAGGCGGCUUCGCAAGUCGAGUGUGAAAUCCCCGAGCUUAACUUGGGAAUUGCGCUCGAAACUACGGAGCUGGAGUGUGGCAGAGGAAGGUGGAAUUCCACGUGUAGCGGUGAAAUGCGUAGAGAUGUGGAGGAACACCGAUGGCGAAGGCAGCCUUCUGGGCCAACACUGACGCUCAUGCACGAAAGCGUGGGGAGCAAACAGGAUUAGAUACCCCAGUAGUCC
rnacentral:rRNA from 1 species